rnacentral:rRNA from 1 species
UACGGAGGGUGCAAGCGUUAUCCGGAAUUACUGGGUUUAAAGGGUGCGUAGGCGGUUAUGUAAGUCAGCAAGUGAAAUUCCACAGCUUAACUGUAGGGACUGCUUUUGAUACUGCAUGACUUGAACCAAGAUGAGGUAGGCGGAAUGUGGCAUGUAGCGGUGAAAUGCAUAGAUAUGCCAUAGAACACCGAUUGCGAAGGCAGCUUACUAGACUUGAGUUGACGCUGAGGCACGAAAGCGUGGGGAGCGAACAGGAUUAGAUACCCUGGUAGUCCACGCCCUAAACGAUGCUAACUCGACGUGUGGGAGAGAUCUUGCGCGUCCAAGCGAAAGCGAUAAGUUAGCCACCUGGGGAGUACGUUCGCAAGAAUGAA